UUUUUUUUGUUUUUUUUUUUUUUCCCGAAACAGGGUCUCACUCUGUUGCCCAGGGUGGAGUGCAGUGGUGCAAUCAUAGAUCAUCACAGCUUGGAAUUCCCAGGCCCAGGCAAUCUUCCAACCUCAACCUUUUAAGUAGAUAACAUCACAGGCCCGUGCCACCGCAACUGGCUAAUUUUAACAUUUUUUGUAGAGAUGGGGUCUCACUAUGUUGCCCAGGCUGGUUUCAAACUUCUGGCCUCAAGUGAUCCUCCCGCCUUGGCCUCCCAAAGUGCUGGGAUUACAGGCAUAAACCAUGGUUCCUGGCCAUAAACAUUAUUAUUGUUGUUGUUGUUGUUGUUUAAUGUAGAUGGAGGGGUUUGGCCCAAACUGGUGGUCUGUCUCCUGGGGACCUUCCAUAACUUAGGAGCCUCUUCCAGAAUGUUCCCCGACACACAGGAGCCGGAGCACUCCCUGUGCUAGUAAAACCAGCCCGUGCCACUGCAGACGGCAUUGCCAAAGUUGGGGGAGGGGAGGAGGACCACAGCCUGGGUUCUCUGAAGCUCAGGGUCCCAGGAGAGUUCAGAGGCUGCUACUGAUGGGGAGAGACACUCAUCCCACCCUGUUUGCUGCUAAACCUACAAUUGUGAACAGGUUUCUAGAUACCAGGUGGAACCAUGACUGUAUCAACAGUUAAUGGGAAAUCCAAGCUUUUCUUGCACCUCCAUUUUCACCAAACUUCUCCAAUGCUUUCCUAUUCUGCACCCCACACCUGCUCUCCCCCAAAUAAUCAAUCCCCUGCAGCCUCCAGCACCUUUCUCGCCUUCUCCUGAAGCUGCUCCCUAAAGACCCCCCUUGCCCAGUCUGAUGCCACGACCCCCGCAGCAUCAGCAUCCAAGGCAGGCCCAUCAGCCAUGUCCACAGCCUGCCGGGCCCCCACCCCACCCCAGCCCUCAUUGACCCUCAUCCUCCCCCUUCUUAACACCUUUCCAAGGGGCUUAUCUCACCACCAUCUCCCACUCCUCUCGCUGUAGGACAACCCCUGGACUUCUCCUUUGUGGGUGUCAGCCUACCAUCCUGUGGGAAUUCCAGGAACUAGUUCAAUGUUUACAAAUAAAACCUAUGAAGUAACAUAAUACGAGGGUGGGCCACAUAGAACCACUGGCUUCUUUUCUUGCCAAAUACAGAUGUUUUUAAAAAAUGAACACAAUUUAGUAUGGUGCAUACUAGACAUUUAUGCAUUACAUAAAAGGAAUGUUCUAACCUCAAAGAAUCCAAAGACCAUCAUCUCAGAAAAAAAAGAGGCACCAAAAUGGAUUACUGAAGUGAAAUGGAUGUUAUGGGAAACUCGCUGUAAUGCCCUUACAGUCCUCAUUUCACCGCAGGCCAGGGGGAGAUCACGGCAGGAGGCCAGCACUGGCCCUCAGAUGGCGGCAGCCUCUCUCCUGUGUCAGCCCUUCCAAACUUCCCAGCUCCUCUCCACCAGCCCUCUGCCUUCCCCCAUCCUGCACCUGCUGGCCUCCUUCAAGACUCCCCAGGAAGCGGACUGGCCUCCCUGCUCCCUCUUCCCACUUUCUUCUCCCUGCACC
rnacentral:lncRNA from 1 species